rnacentral:lncRNA from 1 species
CCUUAACCAGGUGUCCUUUAUUCUCCUCUAUGGGACACAUGUGAAAGCAUUAGGACCUGGGAACAUCAUAGAAAAUGGGAGAUGUGCUGCCCUGGGAGCACACGGCCCUGUGUCUGCUCCGUUCUCCUGUAGGGCCUGGGCCUCCGGGAGCCCUGGCGGCCAGCGCAGCAACCACAGGACUGCACAGGAAGACACGUCCCACUUCUCCUCCAUGACCGGAAGUCCUCAGACCGGACUGUGCUGAGACAUCACGUGUACAGCUUGCAAGACCCACCCAAGCCCUGAGAACCAGCCUU